rnacentral:rRNA from 1 species
CCUACGGGUGGCAGCAGUGGGGAAUAUUGGACAAUGGGCGAAAGCCUGAUCCAGCCAUGCCGCGUGUGUGAAGAAGGCCUUCGGGUUGUAAAGCACUUUCAGUGGGGAAGAAAGCCUUGGGGCUAAUACCCUCGAGGAAGGACAUCACCCACAGAAGAAGCACCGGCUAACUCCGUGCCAGCAGCCGCGGUAAUACGGAGGGUGCGAGCGUUAAUCGGAAUUACUGGGCGUAAAGCGCGCGUAGGCGGUCUGAUAAGCCGGUUGUGAAAGCCCCGGGCUCAACCUGGGAACGGCAUCCGGAACGGUCAGGCUAGAGUGAGGGAGAGGAAGGUAGAAUUCCCGGUGUAGCGGUGAAAUGCGUAGAGAUCGGGAGGAAUACCAGUGGCGAAGGCGGCCUUCUGGACUGGCACUGACGCUGAGGUGCGAAAGCGUGGGUAGCAAACAGGAUUAGAUACCCCAGUAGUC